CGGGGGUGUCGGGUUAGAGCGAGGCGUGACCCAGCUGACGGGCGCCGUGCGGAGCCGGGCGGCGGGCGCGGAGCUGAGGCGGGAGCAGCAGCCGCGGGAUCAGGCAGCGACGCGCGGCGUCGGUAGCGCUCGGCUCUGGCGCGGCGUCUUCUCCACCCCCUCGUGAGCCUGGGGAACCUGCAGCUUAAAGCCGCUGCCAGCCACACCACCAUGUACCCCGGCAACAAGCGGAAAAAGAUCUGGCGGGAGGAGAAAGAGCGCCUGCUGAAGAUGACCUUGGAAGAAAGACGCAAAGAGUACUUAAGGGAGUAUGUUGCACUGAAAACUAUUCCAACAUGGCUGGAAGACUUAAAAAGUAAGAGUGAAGGUGAUGGUGAAACCGCCAAAGAAGAUCUGCAAGGGAAGAGAAGCCUGAGUGAGAAAGUUUCUCUCUACAGAGGUGACAUUACACUGCUUGAGGUCGAUGCCAUCGUUAAUGCUGCUAAUUCCAGCCUUCUCGGAGGUGGAGGAGUGGAUGGCUGCAUACACAGAGCUGCUGGGCCCUGCUUACUUGCUGAAUGCCGCAACCUGAGUGGCUGUGAGACGGGACAAGCCAAAAUCACGUGUGGAUAUGACCUACCUGCAAAAUAUGUCAUCCAUACUGUUGGGCCGAUUGCAAGAGGCUAUCUCACUGAUGAUCAUAAAGAGAACUUGGCAAGUUGCUAUAAAUCCUCUCUGAAACUGGCAAAAGAAAACAACAUCAGAUCAAUUGCAUUUCCCUGUAUUUCAACAGGAAUUUAUGGUUUUCCAAAUGAGCCUGCUGCUGUCAUUGCCCUAAACACUGUUAAGGAAUGGUUAAGCAAGAAUCACAAUGAGGUAAAUCUCUCUGAAAGUUCAUCCUGAAGCUGAACAAAGCUGUUGUGAAUAACAGCUUUUGCUAAGAGAGAGUUAUGGUGUUUUACUCAGAGGCUGCCCCAGAGCAGCUGUAGAGGAUCAAGACUCUUCAGUGUAAUGGAUUUUUCUGAGAAAGGAAUGAAGCACUGCUAAUCUGACCCGGCUGCUUGGAGUUCCUGGAUUAAACUCGUAAUCUGACAGAAACCAAUUAACCUGGGUUUACUGUGGGCUCAUAAAAUACGAAUUAUGCUGAAGUAUUCUGAAUAAUUGAAUACUAGAUGUGACUUCUAGCACUAUAAAAUACAGGCAGAUUAUUUGCAUUGGGAAGGAAAAAAAAGCCUCAGGGCUGCAGGCAGCAUUCUGGGCCUUUGCUGUCCUGCUUGGUUUUUGGAUUGCUAACGGUACAAACAUUGAUUAAUGAGUUCAGUAAAGAUGGUGACAAAGCUGC